UCCGAGUUGACCCCGGCAGUCUCCUAUGAGUCCCCGGCAUUACCCGCUGGCAACAUAGGACGAGGGUUGCGCUCGUUGCGGGACUUAACCUAACAUCUCACGACACGAGCUGACGACAGCCAUGCAGCACCUGUGCAUCUGUCUAAACCGAAGCUUAGAAAACCAUAUCUCUAUGGCGAUCAGAGCAUGUCAAGUCCAGGUAAGGUUCCUCGCGUAAUGUCGAAUUAAACCACAUGUUCCACCGCUUGUGCGGACCCCCGUCAAUUCCUUUGAGUUUUAAUCUUGCGAUCGUAGUCCCCAGGCGAAUCACUUAACGCGUUAGCUACGAUACUAAUCCAGCUUGGCUGAACUAACAUCUAGUGAUUAGCGUUUACAGCGUGGACUAC
rnacentral:misc_RNA from 1 species